ACUGGCAGGCUAGAGUCUUGUAGAGGGGGGUAGAAUUCCAGGUGUAGCGGUGAAAUGCGUAGAGAUCUGGAGGAAUACCGGUGGCGAAGGCGGCCCCCUGGACAAAGACUGACGCUCAGGUGCGAAAGCGUGGGGAGCAAACAGGAUUAGAUACCCUGGUAGUCCACGCCGUAAACGAUGUCGAUUUGGAGGUUGUGCCCUUGAGGCGUGGCUUCCGGAGCUAACGCGUUAAAUCGACCGCCUGGGGAGUACGGCCGCAAGGUUAAAACUCAAAUGAAUUGACGGGGGCCCGCACAAGCGGUGGAGCAUGUGGUUUAAUUCGAUGCAACGCGAAGAACCUUACCUGGUCUUGACAUCCACAGAACUUUCCAGAGA
rnacentral:rRNA from 1 species